CGCCGCUUAUUAUCCCCUCAGUCCUGCGGCUCACAUUCACCUCUCUCUCAACGCCGGUCGCCGCCUAGAUGUGUCACCUGACUUGCCACCGUCCUCCACUCUCGUCUCAGAUUUGACCCCAAAGUCAAGCGGCAGGCAGCAGCAGUAGGUUCCCGUGUCGCCAUGAGCUGGAUGGGGAAGCGGGGGUUGCAUGGGGAGAGCCCGCACAGGCGGAGAAGACGGACGAGGACUGGCGGCCUCGGAGCUACUGGCGGCCCCGGAGGUACCUCGCCGCCGCGUCCAGUUCGACCCUGCCUCCUGCAAGCACGGCGACUUCUUGGACACCGUCUGGGCGGGCCACGACCUAACCACGCCCAAUCUCUUCAGGCAUGGGAAUGGCACCCAUACAGCGCUCGUGAUCCAUCAACGGUGCUAGGUGCCUUAGUGCGCCAGAUGUAUCCACCGCCAAUUGGUCCAAAAAAUGAUCAGAAACCGGUAUUGUGUUGGGAGGACUACAAGUGGUCCCCUAGUCCAGAAGUAAGAACAGCAGCUUCCAAAAUAGUGGAAGAAUUUUGGUGGCGUUUCAAGUGUGACCCAUCGGAGCAAGAGAAUGCAGAUGGUGUUUUGGAGGAGAACUUAACUAGGAAAGUGAAGCAGAUGCUACAUGAGGAAAAGGCGGCAGCCAUCAAAAGAUUAAAGAAGAAGGGACAAUUGCCUACAGAACUAACAGAAGAGGAUGAGGAUGGUAACCGCUGGCCAACUAAGGAAGCUUUAAUUUCUGCAAAGAGAGUUGACUUUGGUACAGACGUUGGUUGGCUUCUACUAUGUGAGCACUGGAGUAGUACUGAAUUUAGAGGGUUAUCUUUAACCAACAAAAGGAACAGACUUGCUAAUGGGGACACGGUCUUCCAUUGCAGUGGUGCUAGAAAUGUUGUCGCCACACGUCAAUUUCUGAAACUUAAAACCGGGAAAGACCCUGGAAUUUCUGGUGCUUGGCUUCACACGCACAAAUUGCAUCGAGGGACUGAUGAAGAGCAGAUAUGCAGUCAAAGAACUGCUGAUCAUUGGGAGGAUUUUGAUAAGGCAAUGAAAAAUGCCCAUGGAGAAAAUUGGGAAGAGGAGCACCCGGAUUUAGAUGGACAAAUCAUCUACGAAGCAGCAGGCAGAAUGCCACAUGGUAGGCUGGGAAUUGCUAAUGAGUUGUUUAGCAAAGCAGAGAAGGCGAAGUUUAAGUCUAAAAGGGCGAUGGCCUCACAGCCGGUGCAAUCUGCCAAGGAGGAGCGUCUAGAAAGAGAAAACAAAUAUUUGAAGCAGAAGAUCAAGCGUCUUCGAGGCAUUGAGCUUGUUGUUCAGUCUUUGGCUGAGAAAGGGGGAGUCGACUUUGAUGGCAUAAUGCAAUCAGCAACAGAUGACUUGUCUCCAUCAUAUUCUGAAGGCGGAUUUCAAAGGGGACAAGGUGAUGUGCCUCAACACCAAACCGAAAAGGGAAUGGGAAGCAGGACUGGAGGCAGUACGAGUCAUGGAAAUGAUGAUGAGGACGACGACUAUGGCAAUGGGGGAUAUGGUAACUAUGGCGAGGGUGAUCUGUAUGGUGAUGAGCACUAUGAUCACUAUGGCGAUGGGGAAUAUGAUGACUAUGGAGAUGAGGAUGACUAUGGCUAUGGCUAUGGCGGUGGCGAUGGUGAUGAUGAUGAUUGGCUAUAAAAUCUAAUGAUCUUCAAGUCAUGUCAAAAUGUAGUUGUGUUAGAUAUUUGUAACACUUUAUUAUCUUAUGGACAAAUUUGUCUUAGUGGACAAUUUAGCUUAUGCAAAAUGUGGCCUAUCUCAGUUACUAUUUUGUUCUGCAUUCGACAUUUGAUAAUUAUGGUUAAUGC
rnacentral:rRNA from 1 species